AAGCUGCUCCUGACAAAAUCCCAGCAGGAGGGCGGAAACCGUCUCUUUGCUCUGCCUGUCUCCUGCUGAACAAGGCCCACUUUUAAUGGGCUGAAUACAUACAACAUACAGCUGACAACAAAGAUGUUAGACUAACCUAACAAGAGAGCGAAACAGGAACAGCACACACAUUCCUGAGCUUGCAGGAUUUUUUCCCCCCUGCUCCUGGACGGCUUUGCCAGAGGAUAAAAAGAGAGAGACGGUAUCAUCAGCACAUCAAGCAAGCCGAGCUCGCUUUGAAGGGGAACAAGCAAGCGGCUCCUGCACGGGACGCGCUAACGACAGAGCCGGGCACGAUGGUGGCUGGGUACAAUUCAGGUCUCCAGGAGUCUCCCCGGGUCACCGAGCGUGAUGAAGAGGUCACCAGCUUGGCUGCUACCAGCCUCGGUGAGACACGGCUCCACGGCCCAGAGGUGAAAGGCUCCAUCUCCCACCCCCAGCCAUGCUGCUCACCGUGCCCUGCGACGACCCGUCCUCCUCCCACUUGAAUGCACGCCCGGGAAGGAUGUAAAGGGAGCAAAGAUAAACAAGGAUCAUGCCUGUAAUGCUGCCUUGGCUUGUGUCAAAGGCCUGUUUGCACCCAGGGCUGCCCCAGGGUCUUCCUGAGUCAGGAGGCAGCGACUCUGGGCACCGGGGAAGGGCAGAGACUCCUUGCCAUUGCUAUUCUUGCCACCAUGAUCAGCAAACAGACCCAGAUUUUUGGUGCUCUGGGUUGCCCCAAGGGCAAACCGCCUCAGGCCCAGGGAGCUCCAGGUCCUCGACCUUGGGACAGCACGUCUGGUGGGUCUGCUCCAGACCCAGUGCCCAGCCCGGGCACGGUGCCCUUGAUGUGAACACGUGCUCUGGGACGUGAGGCAAUGACCCCAGCAUGGCAGGCCUGACAGCUGGCACAAAGAGCCAGGCCAGGGUUUGCAGCACCUCUGCCCCAGAGCCAGGACUCUGAAAGCACUGGAGAGCCCAGCCAGCGCCAGGUCAGGGCAUCCCCAACCCGUUAGGAUGGGGCAUAGGAUGAGGCAUCCCCAACCCAUUAGGAUGGGACACCAGGGCACGUUGUAAGCGAGAACAUACAGUAUUUUAGCCAGCUCUCUCUCUUCCCAUCAGUAUUCCCCUCCUGAGCUGUCUGCACGCAUCCAGCAAAGACUUUUUAGGGUGGUCUCUUUUAUCGGGCCAACCAUACAGUCGGGUUAAAGCUUUCGAAUGCAAGACAAUGACCUGAUGAAGACUGAAGGACGCAUGUCUUGCAUUUUAAAGCUGGUCUAACUUUAUCCUGGCUACAGAGUAGGUCCAAUAAAAGAGAUCACCCUAAGAAAUCCUUGCCUCUCACAUCAUCUCUGAGCCAUCACGGCUACAACAUCACUCUUGCACUGCCAUAUACAAUAGCUCAGCCCAGGUGAGGGCGAGAUGACUUGGAUUUCUGCAGUGCUUCCAUCCCCAUAGGGUCCUGGGGGAUUUUCAAGGGCUAUAUUUACAGAGGGACACCUGAGAUUUUGGGGUGCUAUCACAACUCCCUGUCCCAAGAGAGUUUGGGAAGUUUGGGUUGUUUUCCACUCAAAACCAACAUUUAGUUUUCCAGUGAACCAGCUGUCUUGUGUUUCACUGGUCCCACUCAUUGCCUUUAACAAUCCCGCCUGAAGGAACUUGACCGCGGUCGCACGGGACAUCGGUGGCAGAGCAAACCCUGCAUCUCUCGCAUCCGCAGGUAGGGCCCUAACCUCUGGACCCCCUUCCUCCCUGCUCUCACAUAGACCUCGUGCAGUCCAGCCCUCAGGAACCAGCACAGCAGAGAUCUCCAGGGCCAAACACCCCCGGUCUUGCUCACUCCAGGUUUGUAAAGCGGUGAUAGACUGACUGUUCACAGCCGAAGCCCACGCCGCCCCAGGGCCCUUGCUGUUAGACGGUGCUUUCAAUAUUGCACGUGUGUCCCCUUCUAGCUGAAUGCAACCACUUCUUCUUUCCCCGCCAUGGGGGUAAUAAGAGACUGGGGGUGCGGAGCCAGACCCCCCCGUGCUUUUCCAAAAUGAAGGAUUUCUAGUGCCAAAAAAUCAUGAACAUCUACCAUGCUGCAGGACUCCGACUCUCGCGGUAUCUUUCCAAUGACAUAUCGUCACGUAGAACGGAAUGAGCAUUUAAAAAAAAAAUACAACCUUAAUCUUU